UACAGAGGUCCCGAGCGUUGUUCGGAUUCAUUGGGCGUAAAGGGUGCGUAGGCGGCGCGGUAAGUCGGAUGUGAAAUCUCGGGGCUUAACUCCGAAACUGCAUUCGAUACUACCGUGCUUGAGGACUGGAGAGGAGACUGGAAUUUACGGUGUAGCGGUGAAAUGCGUAGAUAUCGUAAGGAAGACCAGUGGCGAAGGCGGGUCUCUGGACAGUUCCUGACGCUGAGGCACGAAGGUCAGGGGAGCAAACGGG
rnacentral:rRNA from 1 species